rnacentral:rRNA from 1 species
GAUGAACGCUCGCUACAGGCUUAACACAUGCAAGUCGCGGGGCAGCAUGGGGGUUGCUUGCAGUCCCUGAUGGCGACCGGCGCACGGGUGAGUAACGCGUAUCCAACCUGCCCUUCACCACGGGAUAACCCGGCGAAAGUCGGACUAAUACCGUAUGUUGUCCAUUGACGGCAUCCGAUUUGGACGAAAGGCUUAGCGGUGAGGGAUGGGGAUGCGUCCGAUUAGCUUGACGGCGGGGUAACGGCCCACCGUGGCUACGAUCGGUAGGGGUUCUGAGAGGAAGGUCCCCCACACUGGAACUGAGACACGGUCCAGACUCCUACGGGAGGCAGCAGUGAGGAAUAUUGGUCAAUGGGCGUAAGCCUGAACCAGCCAAGUAGCGUGCAGGAUGACGGCCCUAUGGGUUGUAAACUGCUUUUAUGCGGGGAUAAAGGGACCCACGUGUGGGUUUUUGCAGGUACCGCAUGAAUAAGGACCGGCUAAUUCCGUG